AUGGGAAGGAUGGUGCUGUCGCGUCCGUGCAAGUGGCGGCUGGGCGCGCGCCGCCGACGCACGGAUCUCCGGCCUCCGUGCUCCGUUGCGGCCGCUGUGACCGGAUCCGGGUGCCCCGAGGCGCGCUCUCCCACGUCCUCAGCGCCGCCCUGCGCCCCGGUUCGCCCUGCGAUGCCGCUCGAGGAGGCCUCCGCGGCGGCCGCCGCUCCGGCGGCGUCCCCGGCUGUUGCAGCCGUCGUCCUUCCGCCGUCUGCAUCGCCAUCCCGGGCUGAUAGCGUCGUGGAGACCAAGGCAGGAGUAGGGUCGUGCACUUGGGCUGCAAGCACCAUCCCGGCUGCUGGCGUUGUCCCUCGACCGCGGCCGCUGCCGCCAGCUUGCAGAUUCAGGAGGGAGGAUGGGGGUGUGAAGGCCUCGUGCACGCCCCGUCUCAAUCCUGCGUCAACAUCUGCUUCUGUCCGGACUCAUGCCGCCCCCGUCCCUCUUGUCGGUGUCGUCUCAAGUGUGCUGCUGCCGGCCCCUGCUGCCCCGGCGAAUGGAGAGGACGGGCGUUGUGAAGAGGAUCUGGCUCUGUCGCUGCCCGCCAAUGCAAAGAGCACUGUUGUUGCCAUGGGGCGUGAGCUAACCAGUGCACCGCGAGCCCGAGCCCUGUUGCCGGCCCCUGUGGCCCCGGCCAAUGGAGACAAUGAGGGCUGUGGAGAGGAGAUGGCCUUGACGCUGCCCGACAAUGCAAAAAGCAUCGUUGCUGGCAUGGGCAACGGGCUGACCGAUGCACCACGAGCUGUGUUGUGGGCCUCCGCUGCUGACAACAAUGACGAAGAUGACGACGAGGAGUUGGCCCCCCAGACGCCGCCGACUGUCACCAAAGCCCUCGACUCCGAAGGGAUUUGCAUGGGCCAUGACACAGACACAAGUCAGGGUUGGCAGGAGGUGCUACCGCGGCGCGGCCCGCGUCGUUCGACUUCGUCGCCAUCCUCGAUGAUGGCUCCUCGUCCUCCUCGUCACAUCCCUGCUUGGCUCCAUGGUAGAUGCUGUAGAUGCCUUGCUUAUGGGCAUCGUGCGGUUGUUUGCAGAGAUCCGUUGCGGUGCUCUCGUUGUUUGGAGAAUGGUCAUCGUGCGCGUGAAUGUCGCAACCCCCGGCGUCCUCUGAGCUCAUUAUCAUGCCUUGAUGUGCCGCAUGUGUCCCGCCUCGGCACCGUGCAUCGUGUUGCUCCUGCUUCAUGUGAGGGUUCGGUGAGAUCCACACCCCCUUCGAAGGCGCUUCACCGUGGGUCUUGGGCAUCUGUUGUCUCUGUUGCUGUUGGCUCGGCAACCCCGUCCGAGCUGAUGUUGCAGUCCGCACUGGCUGAUCAGACUGCACUAUUGCAAGGUUGUGUGGCGCGGGUUGAGAGCUUUCUGGAGCGAGCGGAGGUUGCUCUGGGUAGACUAUCCCUUGUGCCGGCUCUGUUGCAGACCACUCUGACGUCACAUUCUCCUUGUGUGGCCGGUGUUUGCUCCGUGGAAGACAGGGGUGAGGAGUUGUAUGGCUCUUUCUCCCCUCGUGUUGGAGUCCAUUCAUCGUCGGUGCCUACCUCCCCUCCUAUGGUGUCUUCCACUGAGGGCGAGUCCAUCGCCGUGCUUGUGACUCCGGUGCUGCAGAUCAUGCCUGAGCUUAGGGAGCUAUGCCUGAGUCUAUCAGUGGAGCAUACGAAGGUGGACAUGUCGGCGGCCUCGAUUGAAGGACAAGUUUCGCCUCUGUCAAGUGAGCAGUUGGAGGUUUCUUUGGUUGAUGAUGCUAAAGGGAAGGCAGCUGCAAUUUCAUGA
rnacentral:rRNA from 1 species